rnacentral:rRNA from 1 species
CCUACGGGAGGCAGCAGUGGGGAAUUUUGGACAAUGGGCGCAAGCCUGAUCCAGCAAUGCCGCGUGCAGGAUGAAGGCCUUCGGGUUGUAAACUGCUUUUGUACGGAACGAAACGGCGAGCUCUAAUAAAGUUCGCUAAUGACGGUACCGUAAGAAUAAGCACCGGCUAACUACGUGCCAGCAGCCGCGGUAAUACGUAGGGUGCAAGCGUUAAUCGGAAUUACUGGGCGUAAAGCGUGCGCAGGCGGUGAUGUAAGACAGAUGUGAAAUCCCCGGGCUCAACCUGGGACCUGCAUUUGUGACUGCAUCGCUAGAGUACGGUAGAGGGGGAUGGAAUUCCGCGUGUAGCAGUGAAAUGCGUAGAUAUGCGGAGGAACACCGAUGGCGAAGGCAAUCCCCUGGACCUGUACUGACGCUCAUGCACGAAAGCGUGGGGAGCAAACAGGAUUAGAUACCCUGGUAGUCCACGCCCUAAACGAUGUCAACUGGUUGUUGGGUCUUCACUGACUCAGUAACGAAGCUAACGCGUGAAGUUGACCGCCUGGGGAGUUACGGCCGCAAGGUUGAAACUUCAAAUUGAAUUGACGG